GAUGAAUGCUGGCGGCGUGCCUAACACAUGCAAGUCGAGCGGCAGCGAGGGGUGCUUGCACCCUGUCGGCGAGCGGCGAACGGCUGAGUAACGCGUAGGAAUUUGCCCCAAAGUGAGGAAUAACUGCCCGAAAGGGUAGCUAAUGCCGCAUAUGGUCUUCGGAUUAAAGGAUUUAUCCGCUUUGGGAGAAGCCUGCGUUGGAUUAGGUUGUUGGUAGGGUAAUGGCCUACCAAGCCGACGAUCCAUAGCCGGUCUGAGAGGAUGAUCAGCCAGACUGGAACUGAGACACGGUCCAGACUCCUACGGGAGGCAGCAGUGAGGAAUCUUCCACAAUGGGCGAAAGCCUGAUGGAGCAACGCCGCGUGAAGGAUGAAGGCCUUCGGGUUGUAAACUUCUUUUAUGAGUGAAGAAUAUGACGGUAACUCAUGAAUAAGCACCGGCUAACUACGUG
rnacentral:rRNA from 1 species